rnacentral:rRNA from 1 species
UAGGGAAUAUUGCACAAUGGGCGAAAGCCUGAUGCAGCAACGCCGCGUGCGCGAUGAAGGCCCUCGGGUCGUAAAGCGCUUUUCUGCGAGAUGAGAAAGGACAGUAUCGCAGGAAUAAGUCUCGGCUAACUACGUGCCAGCAGCCGCGGUAAAACGUAGGAGGCGAGCGUUAUCCGGAUUCACUGGGCGUAAAGCGCGUGCAGGUGGUUUGGUAAGUUGGGCGUGAAAGCUCCCGGCUCAACUGGGAGAGGUCGUUCAAUACUAUCAGGCUAGAGAGCAGAAGAGGAAGAUGGAAUUCCCGGUGUAGUGGUGAAAUGCGUAGAUAUCGGGAGGAACACCAGUGGCGAAGGCGAUCUUCUGGUCUGUUUCUGACACUCAGACGCGACGGCUAGGGUAGUAAACGGGAUUAGAGACCCCGGUAAUCCUAGCCAUAAACGAUGUGAACUUGGCGUUGGCGGCUUAAACACCGUCAGUGCCGAAGCAAACGCGAUAAGUUCACCGCCUGGGGACUACGGCCGCAAGGUUA